AAUUGAUGAACAUGUUUUUCCCUCGACUUUUUCUUCAUUCUCUCUUGGUGGUUUGCUUUGCAAAUUUUGCUUUUGGAGCUACUCGAUUGCCACCAGAUGAAGUACAAACUUUAGCUGACAUAGCAAAGACACUGGGGAAGCCGAACUACUGGAAUUU